rnacentral:rRNA from 1 species
UACAGAGGUCUCAAGCGUUGUUCGGAUUCAUUGGGCGUAAAGGGUGCGUAGGUGGCGCUGUAAGUCGGGUGUGAAAUUUCGGAGCUUAACUCCGAAACUGCAUUCGAUACUGCGGUGCUUGAGGACUGGAGAGGAGACUGGAAUUCAUGGUGUAGCAGUGAAAUGCGUAGAGAUCAUGAGGAAGACCAGUGGCGAAGGCGGGUCUCUGGACAGUUCCUGACGCUGAGGCGCGAAAGCCAGGGGAGCAAACGGG